CUCCUACGGGAGGCAGCAGUGGGGAAUAUUGGACAAUGGGGGAAACCCUGAUCCAGCAACGCCGCGUGGAGGAUGAAGGUCUUCGGAUUGUAAACUCCUGUUAGGGGGGACGAAGGGAUGCCGGCGAACAGUCGGCAAACUUGACGGUACCCCCAGAGGAAGCCCCGGCUAACUCUGUGCCAGCAGCCGCGGUAAUACAGAGGGGGCAAGCGUUAUUCGGAAUUAUUGGGCGUAAAGGGCGCGUAGGCGGCCUUGUAAGUCUUGGGUGAAAUCCCUCAGCUCAACUGAGGAACUGCCUCGGAUACUGCAGGGCUUGAGGCCGGGAGAGGGUAGUGGAAUUCCCAGUGUAGCGGUGAAAUGCGUAGAUAUUGGGAGGAACACCGGUGGCGAAGGCGGCUACCUGGACCGGUUCUGACGCUGAUGCGCGAAAGCGUGGGGAGCAAACAGGAUUAGAUACCCUGGUAGUCCACGCUGUAAACGAUGGGUGCUCGGUGUCGCGGGUAUCGACCCCUGCGGUGCCUUAGUUAACAC
rnacentral:rRNA from 1 species